UACGAAGGGGGCUAGCGUUGCUCGGAAUCACUGGGCGUAAAGGGCGCGUAGGCGGCAAUUCAAGUCAUCUGUGAAAAUCUCCGGGCUUAACCCGGAACGGUCAGAUGAUACUGCUUUGCUAGAGUGCGGAAGGGGCAAUCGGAAUUCUUGGUGUAGCGGUGAAAUGCGUAGAUAUCAAGAGGAACACCUGAGGUGAAGACGGGUUGCUGGGCCGACACUGACGCUGAUAGCGCGAAAGCCAGGGGAGCAAACGGG
rnacentral:rRNA from 1 species